rnacentral:sRNA from 2 species
GAAAAGACUUUCUAGGGUUCCGCCACUUACGGGUCUGGUCCGAGAGAAAGCGCAAAGAGCGAUCUUUGUACACGGAGGGAGAAAAGCCCGGGAGAU